AGUGAACGCUGGCGGCAGGCCUAACACAUGCAAGUCGAGCGGCAGCGCGUCCGACCACCCUCGGGUGGUCGGAUGGCGGCGAGCGGCGGACGGGUGAGGAAUGCAUCGGAAUCUGCCUCGUUGUGGGGGAUAACGUAGGGAAACUUACGCUAAUACCGCAUACGACCUACGGGUGAAAGUGGGGGACCUUCGGGCCUCACGCGAUGAGAUGAGCCGAUGCCGGAUUAGCUAGUUGGCGGGGUAAAGGCCCACCAAGGCGACGAUCCGUAGCUGGUCUGAGAGGAUGAUCAGCCACACUGGAACUGAGACACGGUCCAGACUCCUACGGGAGGCAGCAGUGGGGAAUAUUGGACGAUGGGGGCAACCCUGAUCCAGCCAUGCCGCGUGUGUGAAGAAGGCCUUAGGGUUGUAAAGCUCUUUCAGUGGGGAAGAUAAAUGACUGUACCCACAGAAGAAGCCCCGGCUAACUCCGUGCCAGCAGCCGCGGUAAAGUAGACGU
rnacentral:rRNA from 1 species